AGAUGAGGAAAGAAAGACGAAGAAAGAAAAAGAAGAAAAAAGAGGUCAGGUUAAAUUUGAAUGCUGUUUGAUUUAGAUUAUUAGGUGUUUUUAGGUUUGAGCUUGU
rnacentral:ribozyme from 17 species